rnacentral:rRNA from 1 species
AGGGUUCGAUUCUGGCUCAGGAUGAACGCUAGCUACAGGCUUAACACAUGCAAGUCGAGGGGCAGCGAGAAGGAAGCUUGCUUCUUGUCGGCGACCGGCGCACGGGUGAGUAACGCGUAUCCAACCUUCCCCUUAGUAGGGCAUAGCCCGUAGAAAUGCGGAUUAAUACCCUAUGUUGUUCAAUGCGGACAUCUAAGUUGAACCAAAGGUUUACCGCUAAGGGAUGGGGAUGCGUCUGAUUAGGCAGCAGGCGGGGUAACGGCCCACCUGGCCUACGAUCAGUAGGGGUUCUGAGAGGAAGGUCCCCCACAUUGGAACUGAGACACGGUCCAAACUCCUACGGGAGGCAGCAGUGAGGAAUAUUGGUCAAUGGGCGCGAGCCUGAACCAGCCAAGUAGCGUGCAGGACGACGGCCCUAUGGGUUGUAAACUGCUUUUAUGCGGGGAUAAAGUGCGGCACGUGUGCCGUUUUGUAGGUACCGCAUGAAUAAGGACCGGCUAAUUCCGUGCCAGCAGCUGC